rnacentral:rRNA from 1 species
CCUACGGGGGGCUGCAGUGAGGAAUAUUGGUCAAUGGCCGUAAGGCUGAACCAGCCAAGUAGCGUGAGGGAAGACUGCCCUAUGGGUUGUAAACCUCUUUUAUGCGGGGAUAAAGGUGGCCACGUGUGGAUGUUUGCAGGUACCGCAUGAAUAAGGAUCGGCUAAUUCCGUGCCAGCAGCCGCGGUAAUACGGAGGGUCCGGGCGUUAUCCGGAUUUAUUGGGUUUAAAGGGAGCGUAGGCGGGUUGUUAAGCUAGCCGUGAAAUUUUGUGGCUCAACCAUGAGAGUGCGGUGGGAACUGGAUACCUUGAGUGCGCGUGAGGUAGGCGGAAUGCGUGGUGUAGCGGUGAAAUGCUUAGAUAUCACGAAGAACCCCGAUUGCGAAGGCAGCAUACCGACGCGUUACUGACGCUGAAGCUCGAAAGCGUGGGUAUCGAACAGGAUUAGAUACCCCAGUAGUC